rnacentral:rRNA from 1 species
GGUCAGGAUGAACGCUAGCUACAGGCUUAACACAUGCAAGUCGAGGGGCAGCAUGAUCUAAGCUUGCUUAGAUUGAUGGCGACCGGCGCACGGGUGAGUAACGCGUAUCCAACCUUCCCUAUAGUAGAGGAUAGCCCGGCGAAAGUCGGAUUAAUACUCUAUGUUUUCCAAUGCAGACAUCUAAAAUGGAACAAAGGUUUACCGCUAUAGGAUGGGGGAUGCGUCUGAUUAGGUUGUUGGCGGGGUAACGGCCCACCAAGCCUACGAUCAGUAGGGGUUCUGAGAGGAAGGUCCCCCACAUUGGAACUGAGACACGGUCCAAACUCCUACGGGAGGCAGCAGUGAGGAAUAUUGGUCAAUGGGCGAGAGCCUGAACCAGCCAAGUAGCGUGCCAGGAUGACGGCCCUAUGGGUUGUAAGCUGCUUUUAUACAGGGAUAAGGACGCGGUCGUGAACCGAGUUUGAGGGUACCGAAGGAAUAAGCGUCGGCUAACUCCGUGCCAGCCGCAGC